rnacentral:rRNA from 1 species
AUGGGUAUCUCAGGUGCUGUGGAAUGGUGGGAGGAGUGGCAGCUGCGCAUCCUUGUCUUGGCUAGCCUCUUGGUUCAGUGGCUGCUCUUCCCCUCUGCCGCCAUGCGUAAGUUCGCUAUUCCUUCCUGGUUCAGAUCCAUAAUAUGGCUUGCAUACCAGGGCAGCGAUGCUCUAGCGGUAUAUGCCCUUGCCAACCUCUUCAGCCGUCAGAGGAGGCAAGAUUGUACCUCUGGCCAAGGCAAUAGCAUCCUCGAGGUGGUGUGGGCACCGGUUCUCCUAGUCCACCUCGGUGGGCAGGACAUCAUAAGCGCCUAUAACAUCGAAGACAACGAGCUAUGGACGCGGCACGUCCUCGUCGCUGUGUCCCAGAUCACAGUAGCCAUCUAUGUCUUCUGCAAAUCAUGGCCAGGCGGUGACAAGAGGUUGUUACAGGCAGCAAUCAUGUUCUUCAUCCCGGGGGUUCUAAAAUGCUUAGAGAAGCCAGUGGUUUUAAAGAAUGCUAGCAUCAAUAGCCUAGUCAGCUCUUCUGAGCCUCCUCCGACAGAAACAUACCAGUUCACUCUUGACGACGGGCGUAUCUCCGGUGAUAUCAACAUACUUGAAAACUAUGUGCAAGUAGUUGGAAAAUAUUUCCGUGAAAAUCCGGACCCUGACAAACAAGGAAAUAUUACCCACCCCUCCCAUCUAUUUGUAGACCUUGCAUCCUCAUAUGGUGAUCGGUUCGAUGUCCUAAGUUUAUUCAUGCCACUUGACGGAGAGGAAGCGUAUGACUUGCUGCAAGGAGGGCUUUCUAACAUGUUCAACCUUUUUUACACAAAAGAAACUCUGAGCACCCCCUCUAGUGGUCAUAUGAGACACCCUUGGCAACUAUAUUGGGGUUUAUUGUUACGGUAUACAUGUUUGUACCUGCCAUGGGCAGCCAUCGGGCUCUUCCACAAUUGCCAUAGAGAAGCUUAUAAUGAUUACGAUGUCAAGGUUACAUAUGCCUUGUUUUGUUGUACUGCUGUACUGGAGACCUAUUCAAUGGGUACUAAAAUGAGUCUUACCGAUUCUUUUUUAUCAAAAUUUGGAGAUAUUCCUGCUGUAGUAAGAUUAUUCCCAGUGCUAACAAAGAAAAGGAGAUCACAAUUCAGAGUUUCCCAAUACAGCCUUAUAGGAUUCUUUGCCCGUAAGAGAAGGCACAGCAUGAAGAUGUGUAUCCUGAGUUUGCUCCAGUGCAAGGACUUACUUGACCAUCGUUGGUGCAUGAAGCCCUGUUACUCAUCUGUUGCCAUUACAAAGUUAGUUCUUGAGUAUGCGAAGAAAGGGUGGGAAGAUGAAAUAAGUGAUGUUGACAGCUAUUGGAAGUUCAACGACAAUAGAGGUCAGUGGACUCUUCAGGGCAAGUGCGAGCAAGACCUGAUUUGGAGCUUAAGGGGACCAUUUGAUAAGACUGUCAUUCUCUGGCACAUCGCUACAGAUUUCUGCUUCUACACAUCAGUUGAUCACCAAUGUGCCCCUAUUCAAUGCAAUGAAGGUAUUGCCCCUGGUCAAGGUCAUGGCUGUGCAGCCCGGUGUGGAAUAUCUCCUUAUCACGAAAGAGCUGUCCGGUGCAGAGAAAUGUCCAGCUACAUGAUGCACCUACUCUUCAUCAACCCUGAGAUGCUAUUGCCUGGCACCAGACGAAAUUUGUUCAUGUCUGCCAAUGCUGAACUGGAGAAUAUCCUUAUGAAUGACAAGCCAUCAGUCGAGGCCAUCCUCAAGGGCGACAAGCCAUCACUCCAGGACAUCCUCAGGGGCAAUAAGUCAUUGAUCCAGUUCCUCAAGGGCAAGAAGCCAUCGCACAAGGAGAUCAAAAGAGGGCUCGUGGAGAUAAUAAUCACCAAAAUGAAGACCAGAGAAGUGCCAUCUGAUGUAGAGGAAAAUCCAGCUGAAGAAGGCUUUAUCAACGAUGCCUGGAAGAUUUCAGAAGCAUUGUCGGCUUUAGGUGAUGAGAAUAAGAUGUGGGAGGUGAUUGAAGGUGUGUGGGUGGAGAUGCUGUGCUUCUCGGCCAGUAGAUGUCGAGGGUACCUGCACGCCAAGAGUUUGGGUACCGGCGGUGAGUUGCUCACCUAUGUCUGGCUCCUGCUGUCCCACAUGGGGAUGGAGACCUUGCCCGAGAGGAUGCAGAGGACGGAGUUUUCAAGUGAUGGAGGAAACGGUUGA